rnacentral:rRNA from 1 species
CGUCUAUAUACGUAUAGCAUAUCAAUAAGCGGAGGAAAAGAAACUAACUAGGAUUCCCUCAGUAACGGCGAGUGAAGCGGGAAGAGCUCAAAUUUGAAAUCUUCAAGGUUUUACCUUGACGAAUUGUAGUUUAAAGAAGUGUUUUCUGUUGGAGUUUCGGUAAAAGUUCUUUGGAAUAGGACAUCAUAGAGGGUGAGAAUCCCGUAUUUGACCAUUAUUUCAACUUUGUGAUACACUUUCAAAGAGUCGGAUUGUUUGGGGAUGCAGUCCAAAAUGGGUGGUAAAUUUCAUCUAAAGCUAAAUAUUGGCGAGUGACCGAUAGCGAACAAGUACCGUGAGGGAAAGAUGAAAAGAACUUUGAAAAGAGAGUUAAACAGUACGUGAAAUUGUCAAAAGGGAAGCGUUUGACACCAGUGUUGUUUUCUCGAAAAUCAAUUAAAAAUGGCAGGAUUUUGUGUUGUAUUGACUUUAUCAGCUUUCUGCACUUUUUUCUUGUCUUUUUUAAUGCACUUUUCGUUUAACAAGUCAACAUCAAUUUCUUUUGCUGUAAAAGGGUCAUUGGAAGGUGGCUUUCUUUUCGGAGAAAGUGUUUAUAGCCUUUGACUUCUGCAGUCGGAGAGAUUGAGGUCUGCAGCGUAGAUCCUUCGGGGUUAGAUGCAUUUGUGCUAAGUUAUAGCCUUUCAUAGACAACUUGUUGACUAUGAUCAGUCAUGUAGCUUACUCGCUUAUGUCAUUUUACCUACGCUUAGGAUGUUGAUCUGUAGUGCGUGCGC